rnacentral:lncRNA from 14 species
UGCUCUACAGAUCCUGGACUUGGAAAGUGAGGAACAGACAAGGCUGAACUAAAAGAGGAAUCUCCAAACCUGGAAAACUCCAAGACCACACAGUUGCCAAGGAGGGCUAGAAAAGAACUUGCUGCUCCGACAGAGAAUAUGUAUCUGGACUUCCUGAGCAAAAACAAGCUCAGGAGCAUUGCCAGGAUCUGAAUGCAGCUCAUUCUUGAUGAAUCCGGGGAGGGGUGGUCUGGAACCUAUCAGAUUAAAUUGGAUGAAGCUCUAGGAAAGACC